GGGUUGUGAGGUUAAGCGACUAAGCGUACACGGUGGAUGCCCUGGCAGUCAGAGGCGAUGAAGGACGUGCUAAUCUGCGAUAAGCGUCGGUAAGGUGAUAUGAACCGUUAUAACCGGCGAUUUCCGAAUGGGGAAACCCAGUGUGUUUCGACACACUAUCAUUAACUGAAUCCAUAGGUUAAUGAGGCGAACCGGGGGAACUGAAACAUCUAAGUACCCCGAGGAAAAGAAAUCAACCGAGAUUCCCCCAGUAGCGGCGAGCGAACGGGGAGCAGCCCAGAGCCUGAAUCAGUGUGUGUGUUAGUGGAAGCGUCUGGAAAGGCGCGCGAUACAGGGUGACAGCCCCGUACACAAAAAUGCACAUGCUGUGAGCUCGAUGAGUAGGGCGGGACACGUGGUAUCCUGUCUGAAUAUGGGGGGA
rnacentral:rRNA from 1 species